rnacentral:rRNA from 1 species
AGUGAACGCUGGCGGUAGGCCUAACACAUGCAAGUCGAACGGCAGCACAGUAAGAGCUUGCUCUUACCGGUGGCGAGUGGCGGACGGGUGAGGAAUACAUCGGAAUCUACUUUUUCGUGGGGGAUAACGUAGGGAAACUUACGCUAAUACCGCAUACGACCUACGGGUGAAAGCAGGGGAUCUUCGGACCUUGCGCGAUUGAAUGAGCCGAUGUCGGAUUAGCUAGUUGGCGGGGUAAAGGCCCACCAAGGCGACGAUCCGUAGCUGGUCUGAGAGGAUGAUCAGCCACACUGGAACUGAGACACGGUCCAGACUCCUACGGGAGGCAGCAGUGGGGAAUAUUGGACAAUGGGCGCAAGCCUGAUCCAGCCAUACCGCGUGGGUGAAGAAGGCCUUCGGGUUGUAAAGCCCUUUUGUUGGGAAAGAAAAGCAGCAGGUUAAUACCCCGCUGUUCUGACGGUACCCAAAGAAUAAGCACCGGCUAACUUCGU